GGGCAGCAUGGGAGGAAUGGCUGGGAGUUAGAGAAAGAUAUAUUUUCCAUCCCAUGCAAGAGCCACUUCACUGAUAGCUGGCUGGCUGGCAAGCUUGUCCCAAGGCAGCAUAGGCAGAGCCAAGGUGGUAAGCUCUGUAUGGAGAGGACAUUGCAGGAUCCAGGCAAUGAAGCAAGGGCUUUCUUAUGUAUGUGUGAAUCAUCAGUGAUUUCAGAAAAUCACUAAAAUAUCCAUCAGAGAACUGAGAAUUACUUCAGAUUACUGAGAAUUACAGACAGAUGCCAAAAUACAGAUGCAGGAAGCGCAGAGAACACCAAGCAGAAUAAAUUUUGAAGAAAUUACACUGUAGGCAUAUCAUAUUAAAACUUGAAAAAAAUCAAAGAAAAAAUCUUCAAAGAAGCUAAAG
rnacentral:lncRNA from 1 species